UGGGGAAUAUUGGGCAAUGGGCGCAAGCCUGAUCCAGCCAUGCCGCGUGAGUGAUGAAGGCCCUAGGGUUGUAAAGCUCUUUUAACCGCGAAGAUAAUGACGGUAGCGGGAGAAUAAGCUCCGGCUAACUCCGUGCCAGCAGCCGCGGUAAUACGGAGGGAGCUAGCGUUGUUCGGAAUUACUGGGCGUAAAGCGCGCGUAGGCGGCCAUUCAGGUCAGAGGUGAAAGCCCGGGGCUCAACUCCGGAACUGGCUUUGAAACUAGAUGGCUAGAAUCCAGGAGAGGUGAGUGGAAUUCCGAGUGUAGAGGUGAAAUUCGUAGAUAUUCGGAAGAACACCAGUGGCGAAGGCGACUCACUGGCUCGAUCCUGACGCUGAGGCGCGAAAGUGUGGGGAGCAAACAGG
rnacentral:rRNA from 1 species